rnacentral:rRNA from 1 species
CGCGUAGGCGGCUCGUUAAGUGGCUGGUGAAAUCCCGGGGCUCAACUCCGGGGCUGCCGGUCAGACUGGCGGGCUCGAGCACGGUAGAGGCGGAUGGAAUUCCCGGUGUAGCGGUGGAAUGCGUAGAGAUCGGGAAGAAUACCGGUGGCGAAGGCGUUCCGCUGGGCCGUUGCUGACGCUGAGGCGCGACAGCGUGGGGAGCAAACAGGAUUAGAUACCCUGGUAGUCCACGCCGUAAACGAUGGGCACUAGGCGUCGGGGGGAGGCGACCCUCCCGGUCGCCGUCGCUAACGCAGUAAGUGCCCGCCCUGGGGAGGUACGGCCGCAAGGCUGAA